AACGAACGCUGGCGGCAUGCCUAACACAUGCAAGUCGAACGAGACCUUCGGGUCUACUGGCUGACGUGGUGGUGACGGGUUGGGACAUACCCUUAUAUUCUGAAUAACUCCCCGAAAGGGGUCCGAAUACCGGGUAAUGUCUUCGGACCAAAGAUUUAUCGCCAUUGGAUGGGUCCGCGUUGGAUUAGUUAGUUGGUAGGGUAAAAGCCUAGCAAGGCGAGGAUCCAUAGCUGGUCUGAGAGGGUGCCACGCCACACUUGGACCGCGACACGGCCCAGACUCGUAGGGGACGGAGCGGUAGGUAAUAUUGUAGAAUGAACGAAAGCCUAAUGACGCCAUGCCGCGUGAGUGAUGAAGCCGUUAGGGUUGUACAGCCCUUUUACAAGGGACGAUAAUGACAGUACCGGGAGAAGAAGCUCCGGCUAACUACGUG
rnacentral:rRNA from 1 species